GAUCUUGUACCAUUGUAUUUUGUUGGAUGACUCUAAAUGAGUUGCUUUCGGGGAUUUUAGUUUGAAGAUCAAGCAAGCUCUCCGAUAUCUCGUAGCUCAUAGAUCUUCAAUCAAAAUCUACAAUCAAGAUCUCCGACAUCUAUACGGUUAAAGAGAAUGUUUUGAGGAUUAAUUUCUCCAAAAUAUUUGCAAGUGAGCUAUCAUCACCGUAAUCAAACUGGAGUCCACCAUUUCUUGAACAUUCACAAAGUGGAAUAGUCUUAUAUAUUGGAGUUUGAAGACCUUUUACGCAACACGAAGAAUAUAACCGCAGCAAGAGUUAUUGAAGUUUGCUUCACUCUUUGAGUCCACCAUUUCUGGAACUGCAGCAAUUAAUAGCGCUAUAUGAGAAGCCUCGCAUAGUGAAAUAGUCUCAAUGAAAUUUGU
rnacentral:lncRNA from 1 species